rnacentral:rRNA from 1 species
UACGUAGGUGGCAAGCGUUGUCCGGAAUUAUUGGGCGUAAAGCGCGCGCAGGCGGGAUAUCAAGUCUGUCUUAAAAGUUCGGGGCUCAACCCCGUGAUGGGAUGGAAACGGGUAUUCUUGAGUAUCGGAGAGGAAAGUGGAAUUCCCAGUGUAGCGGUGAAAUGCGUAGAUAUUGGGAGGAACACCAGUGGCGAAGGCGACUUUCUGGACGAUGUCUGACGCUGAGGCGCGAAAGCCAGGGAAGUGAACGGG